AGGGUUUGAUUAUGGCUCAGAUUGAACGCUGGCGGCAUGCCUUACACAUGCAAGUCGAACGGCAGCACGGGGGCAACCCUGGUGGCGAGUGGCGAACGGGUGAGUAAUACAUCGGAACGUGUCCUGUAGUGGGGGAUAGCCCGGCGAAAGCCGGAUUAAUACCGCAUACGCUCUGCGGAGGAAAGCGGGGGCUCCUUCGGGACCUCGCGCUACAGGGGCGGCCGAUGGCAGAUUAGCUAGUUGGUGGGGUAAAGGCCUACCAAGGCGACGAUCUGUAGCUGGUCUGAGAGGACGACCAGCCACACUGGGACUGAGACACGGCCCAGACUCCUACGGGAGGCAGCAGUGGGGAAUUUUGGACAAUGGGCGCAAGCCUGAUCCAGCAAUGCCGCGUGUGUGAAGAAGGCCUUCGGGUUGUAAAGCACUUCUGUCCGGAAAGAAAACCUCAGCCCUAAUACGGCGGGGGGAUGACGGUACCGGAAGAAUAAGCACCGGCUAACUACGUGCCAGCAGCCGCGGUAAUACGUAGGGUGCAAGCGUUAAUCGGAAUUACUGGGCGUAAAGCGUGCGCAGGCGGUCCGCUAAGACAGAUGUGAAAUCCCCGGGCUUAACCUGGGAACUGCAUUUGUGACUGGCGGGCUAGAGUAUGGCAGAGGGGGGUAGAAUUCCACGUGUAGCAGUGAAAUGCGUAGAGAUGUGGAGGAAUACCGAUGGCGAAGGCAGCCCCCUGGGCCAAUACUGACGCUCAUGCACGAAAGCGUGGGGAGCAAACAGGAUUAGAUACCCUGGUAGUCCACGCCCUAAACGAUGUCAACUAGUUGUCGGGCCUUCAUUGGCUUGGUAACGUAGCUAACGCGUGAAGUUGACCGCCUGGGGAGUACGGUCGCAAGAUUAAAACUCAAAGGAAUUGACGGGGACCCGCACAAGCGGUGGAUGAUGUGGAUUAAUUCGA
rnacentral:rRNA from 1 species